ensembl:lncRNA
AUGCGCACUUACUGUGUACUUCCACACUUUUUUGCUGCUCUUCUCUUGUGUGAUUAUGGGAUGUUCUCCACACCAUCACCAUCUCCUUCAGGGAUCCCCACUAAUGCAAUAUCAACGAUAUCCGACUCUAACACUACUGUGACGACAGCUAAAUCCGUAACAGCCGGGAAUGGCUCGAGCACGUUAGAAUCUGGCUUAGGGAAAAAUCAGCCAAAUGAUUUAAAUGGGACGACUGAGAGCAGCAGAGACCAUUCUGUCACUGAAUCUCAAAGGGUUAAUGGAAGCACCAGCAGAGAGAUCUCUUCAACACCAAGUCCAGAGAGCACCACACACAACGUGAAGCACCAUACUACUCAAGAAAAAAAAGUUUCAGAUUCAACAACGGUUACAGGAGGAUUGAAUACAGGAGAUAAAACAUCAAUAACAGGAGGUGUCAUCAUUUUGAUCAUCAUCCUGCUCCUGAUUUUUUCUCUGCUUGGCAUUUUGUACUAUCUGAGAAAGAAAGCAAGGAGUUACUCAUUUGAUCUGACUCACGUCGACGUAGCUGCCAAUGAUUACACUGACACCCCGCUCAGGAGCGACCAACAAGGCAUAAGCUAUGAACAAACUAACAAAGAUCUGCCUGUGUGUUCGGACUAUGUACAAGAGGACAAGACUACAGAGGAGAAGACUAAUCCCAUAGCAAACGGGUCUUGUGGAGAGAAAACUGAACAAGCACCCACCAAUGACAAUGAUUAUCAGAAUGUUCCAGAAGAGAACAGUUUCUCUUCAAACUCGAGCUUGAGUACACCCAUGAAGAACGAGGAUUUUAACCUGUACCUAAAUCUGCUUGGAGGUGAUUUAAACGAUUUGACCGAAGCUGAAGCCACCGAUACGACACAAAAUGAAAACAACAAUAAUGUCAGUAAUGCUGAGCAGGGAGCAGCAGAAGAGAUCUUCACUGAAAUUAGUCUAGAUGAGCCAAACUAACAUGCAUAGUGUGUGUUUCCAGUGCAGCGGUCAAGAUCUCGGGUGUCUGGUACCUAGAUCCAAACUAUAGACUAUAUGAGUGCAAAAGCAUCCUUCUGCCAUUCUCACUUUAAGUUCUGUUUCAUCUACUGCUAAAGGAGAUUGUAUACUGUACAUAAAAAAAGAACAUUGAAUCAUUGGUUGAAGUUUAUGUAAAAAUUUUAAUGCUUUAUAAAAUAAUGUGUGGCUAUAAUAAACAUUCGCUGUGUAAUGCA